rnacentral:rRNA from 1 species
GACGAACCGAGCGAACGUUGUUCGGAAUCACUGGGCUUAAAGGGCGCGUAGGCGGGUGCUCAAGUCCGGGGUGAAAUCCCGCAGCUCAACUGUGGAACUGCCUCGGAUACCGGGUGCCUCGAGGGUGGUAGGGGUAUGCGGAACUAUCGGUGGAGCGGUGAAAUGCGUUGAUAUCGAUAGGAACUCCGGUGGCGAAGGCGGCAUACUGGACCACAUCUGACGCUGAGGCGCGAAAGCCAGGGGAGCGAACGGG